ensembl:snRNA U6 U6 spliceosomal RNA
GUGCUUGCUUCGGCAGCACAUAUACCAAAAUUAACAUGAUACAGAGAAGGAUAGCAUGGCCCCUGCACAAGGAUGACACACAAAUUCGUGAAGUGUUCCACUCAUGA